UUUUAUGGAGAGUUUGAUCCUGGCUCAGGACGAACGCUGGCGGCGUGCUUAACACAUGCAAGUCGAACGAUGAACUGCGGAGCUUGCUCUGCGGGGAUUAGUGGCGAACGGGUGAGUAACA
rnacentral:rRNA from 1 species